UGUUGACAAGAGAGAUGAGUCCCACGGAACUCAGUGGUCUGUAUUCUGAAAUGAAAACAGCCCGUGGACGGGAGGAGCACGGUGCCUCACAAGCAGCCGCGGAGGACUCUGCAAUCUUCCUGCGAGGUUUCGAGCAAGAGAGAAACGGAAAAUACGUCUGACGGGGGAGUGGCAGUGUGGCGGAUAAAGCGAACCUCUGCUAGAAUAUCUUGCCCCUGACAUAUCAUUGUGCUUAUUGGUGAUUUACGAUCGACUGCUUUCCACUAACCGGUGGGCUUCUUGCGGGCAGCAUCAUGUGCUCCACAGCUUUCUAGCCAAAUGCCGAGCAAGGAUUGGUGCCCUGCGGGAGGCUGGAAUCUAUUUAAAAUGAGGCCAGCAUCAGCGGUACAAAGGCCAUCCUCUAGCAGCCCAGGAAGAAUGUGCUGUGAUCAACAUUCUGGGAAGACGAGACAAGAAUGGAGAAGUCACCCACACCGGGAGCCCCAGGGAGCUUCGGGUCCCACUCCAGCACCAGGAGCUCAUCUAUUACACAGCACGGCAAUCAUAAACCGAUUUUUAUUCUGGGUGGGCGUGUGUGAGUUUUACUUAUCUCUUUCCCUCAUCAGAUUGUGAUUUCCUGAAGGGCACGGGCUACUCCUAUUCAACUUUUUAUCCCUACACCUAGCACCUAGAACUGUGUGAUCACUCAGUGGUGACGGAGGUGAAGAGGGGAGGGAAGGAAAAAAGCGAGGACAGGAGAAAGGUCUGGGUGCUUGAGAAAGCCUCUCCUUUGCUUCAGAGGCUUGUUCUGAGGGCUUCUGGAUUUUCGGUCCUUGGGGGCAGGCUGCGAGCUCUCACUGGCCCUUGGUGGUUCUUUCCAGGCUCCCCGUCAGCCUCACAGGGUUGUUGUAAACUGCUCUCGGAAAGGAGUCACAGAGGGAGCCCGUGCUAGGGUCACCCGUGCACUGAACACCCAGCUCAUCCCAGUGGCUAUUUCAGAGUGGAAGAUGGCAAUGAAAUGAAAGUUUUCAUUUCGCUUUGUUUAAAAGCAAGUUGUUCCUUUUCCUGACUUUUAUAUCCCAAGGCUAAGAAACAGUAUAAAACAACUUUUAAAAAUCUAUUUCAAUGUUAUCCAUUGUUCACUAAAAGAGAGUCAUAAAGGGCACAAGAUGAGAGGAGACGCCGGGGCUCAUGUGAGUCGCUCGCGGAACGCAUUGGGAGAGCCCUUUCAAAAGAUUUGAUUUAGGAAGCAGGAAAUGAUUAAAACCGGAUGGCUCUGAUGAAAAUUAGAUUUAAAAUUUUCAUUGAAUUUGCAUAGUUGGAUGUAAUUUUACUUACGAUCUCCCCUAUAUUCCCUGCCUACAACAUUCAAAACAGGUAAGGCCACGUGAACACCUGUGCCGUACGUAUGGGUGUAGGUACGCACACAUAUUUUUAAAUUAUCGAGUCCGGAUGAGAGUUUUUCUUACGACAUACAGAUAUACAACAGCGUAUCCCCAGAUAUGUUUAAUUCACUUUCAUUACCAGCCCAUCUCUUCGCCACAUAAUCGUCACACAGUGGUUCCAACAGGACACCUGAGCGUGGAACGCCGACCCAGCCUUUAAAACACAAGUUUCGGAUUUGGUAUUUUAGCAGGUAAAAGUUCAGUUUUUGGUUUUACCCUUAGAAGAGAGUACGUACAUAGCAUUUACUCCAUUUUUGUAAGGUAAAGACCGAUAAAUCCCCAAAGGCCUUGGCAUUUAGGACAAGGUUAAUGCUUUAUCCAUAAAUUUACUCCUUAAACUCUGUGAUUCCUUGUAUCCAAGUGAGAUACCCUGUUGGCUGGACAAUGGCCUAUAUCUUAAAUAUGCAGAGACCCUCCCGAGCACACGGAGUGUGAAGGAACCAUCGCGAAUGGACAAUUAGAAGUCCUAGCGAGUUUAGCCAUCUCUGGGUGUCUAAAUUAAGAAUGCCAGGGUAUGACUGAUACCCGGGAGAGCCUCUGGACUUCUCUACGUGAUGAUUAGCCUUCACUUUAUGGAGGCGUGACAACAACAUAAUAAUAGCCACCGUUUAUUUAUCUACUCCUGAAUGCUUACCAUGUGAGGGCGAAAGCCUCCUUAAUUCUUAUCUUAUUCAGUCCUCACAACAGUCCUGUGAAGUAGGUACUAUCAUCAUCCCAUUGUGUAACAAACAAACUGAGGGUUAGAGACGUUAAUUAACUUGUCCCAGGUCGGAGGACUAAAAACGUUUGGGAGCCAUUUUUUUGAAUAAAAUUCUAACAAAGUCUACGUUUUAAGCCGUUGUAAAGUCUUCCUGGUAAGACACACGUCUGUGGGAUCCCGUGAUUUGUAGUUAUUCAUUUUGUGUAUAGCUUGACGGAGAAAGUAUCAUUCUCGUUGCCUACACAUAAAAGCUUCAAACUGAUCCUUUAGGAGGGUGUGUGAUUCCAUUUAGUCGUUGAUAAAUAGAGUCCUGCGUUAGCAUGUAACAUGGAUCUUUUUCCUCGUUUACCUUCCGCUGAACUUUUUGAGAGACCGUCUCACUCCGAAGAGCUUUGGAUCAGUCCCGUUUGUAAUGAAAUGCGAAAACGAACCUUUGUUUUGGCGGGAACCAGGAAGUCGCGGGCUUCUGCGCUCCUGGUCCGCGUCCGCAUCGACGAGGAAACCGAGUUUCACGAGCUGCUGCGGGAGACGGUAAGAUUUCCUAACUGAGCAAAAAAUUCUCUUGACUUUAUGGACUCGCUCUAACUUGGUGCACGUGUGGCUACUUAAGUUUAAACUCGAAUUCAUUAAAAUUCAAUAAAAAUAAAAAUCCAGCCCCUCAGCACCCGAGCCACACUGCGAGUGCCCAGUACCCUCCAGGGGCUGCCAUUUUGGAAAGCACGGACACGGAAUAUUUCCAGCCGCGCAGAAAGCUGGGCUGGACAGAGACGUCUGGAUUACUUGGACUCCCGAGCACCAAGUCCCACGCUUAGCAAAGACCACUAUUUUUUUCACCAUGAAAGAGAAUUUUUUCCCCCACAACUAAACAACGUCGAAGUAUGGUUACGCACAGGAUGACGUUCGCUUUAGGUGCGCGACACGGCGGUCUGACAAGUCUGUGUGUCAGGCCGUGUUCGCCACAAGUGUAGCUGCCAUCCGUCGCCACGCAACACUACGACGACACCGCCGGCUGUCCUCCCCGCGCCGCACCUCUGAUCCCUCCGGCUUCCUCAUUCCGCAAACGGAAGCCUGUGCCUCUACUUCCUUUCACCCGCUUUGCCCAUCCCCCCACUCCUCCCCUCUGGCAACCGUCACUCCGGCCUCGGACUGAUGGAUCCGACAGCUACUUCCGGAAGUAACGGUGCCUUGGGAUGCGGAAGCCGAAGCGGAACGGCCCAUCCGUGCAGUGAGCCUGCUUUGGGCUCCGCUGCCUGUGUCUCAGGGCUGCCAGUUUGUUUCUUUUCAUUACUGAGAGGAGAGGACGUUCCGCGUGGUGCCUAGUAACGCAGCGCAGACAGUCAACAGCAGCUCACAGGCCGCUCCUGCCAGCCUCUCUCGGGUGUUCCGCCUGGGGGGGGAUUACAACACCUGCCACGGCCUGGGUGGUCCAGUGCGGCCCGUCGCCAGCAACCUGCCCGCACCGCCAGCACCGGGAAAGGUAGGGCAUUCCUCUCCCUCUGCCUCUUUGCCGUGCAAACGCUCGUCGACUGUUCACCAAACGUGGGGGACGCUUUCUCUGGAUUUAUUCACGAUCGCGCUCUGAUUCGCCGCCUCUCAACCGUUUCCACGCAGGAAUACAAAGGAGGAGUCUGUGAUUGGGGAGGACGGCACAUGGCGUGGGGACGCAAGCCCCGCUGAGACACAGUGCCAGCCACACACACACACACACACACACACACA